GAUGAAGAACGUAGCGAAAUGCGAUAAGUAAUGUGAAUUGCAGAAUUCAGUGAAUCAUCGAAUCUUUGAACGCACAUUGCGCCCGCCAGUAUUCUGGCGGGCAUGCCUGUCUGAGCGUCAUUUCAACCCUCAUGCCCCUAGGGCGUGGUGUUGGGGAUCGGCCAAAGCCCGCGAGGGACGGCCGGCCCCUAAGUCUAGUGGCGGACCCGUCGUGGCCUCCUCUGCGAAGUAGUGAUAUUCCGCAUCGGAGAGCGAUGAGCCCCUGCCGUUAAACCCCCAACUUUCCAAGGUUGACCUCAGAUCAGGUAGGAAUACCCGCUGAACUUAAGCAUAUCAAUAAGCGGAGGA
rnacentral:misc_RNA from 1 species